rnacentral:rRNA from 1 species
GACGAACGCUGGCGGCGUGCCUAAUACAUGCAAGUCGAACGAGAGCACCCGGUGCUUGCACUGGUCAAUCUAGUGGCGAACGGGUGAGUAACACGUGGGUAACCUGCCCAUCAGAGGGGGAUAACAUCCGGAAACGGAUGCUAAAACCGCAUAGGUCUUCGAACCGCAUGGUUUGAAGAGGAAAAGAGGCGCAAGCUUCUGCUGAUGGAUGGACCCGCGGUGCAUUAGCUAGUUGGUGAGGUAACGGCUCACCAAGGCCGUGAUGCAUAGCCGACCUGAGAGGGUGAUCGGCCACAUUGGGACUGAGACACGGCCCAAACUCCUACGGGAGGCAGCAGUAGGGAAUCUUCCGCAAAGGACGCAAGUCUGACGGAGCAACGCCGCGUGAGUGAAGAAGGUUUUCGGAUCGUAAAACUCUGUUGUUAGAGAAGAACAAGUGCUAGAGUAACUGUUAGCGCCUUGACGGUAUCUAACCAGAAAGCCACGGCUAACUACGUG